rnacentral:sRNA from 1 species
GGAUAUGAGGGCUGAUCAUGACUGUCAAGGUGAAUGCCUCAACCUCCCUCAAAUGGCUCAAUGCACAUCCCUCCUGAAGCUGCAGCCUCUGUCAGAGAAAAUAACUUUUCCAAAGAGAUAAGCACUAUUUUUGAUUUAGGGUAUAAAUGGGACUAAGAUUCACUAGGGAAUCCUAAGGAUAAACCUAUGAGUCUUAGCCAAGUGUAAAUGGUCCCCAAUCAAUAAUUAUGGUUCAUGAAAAUAUAUUAGGCUAGCCUCUUGGAUCCUAAGAAUAUUUU